UCUGUGAGUGUGGUUGCAUUAGCACUUACUAAUUUAGUAACUUUAUUUUCGGCUGGAAGCAGGAGACAAAUGAAGACCAUGGCAAAUUCGAUUGCUAAUUUGCUAAAACCCACCCUGACAGAGCAGAUGGCAUGUAACAAAACAUUUCAAGCACAUGGACCUAUUUGGCAGAGGAUUGUGGGAUUGCAGAAGGAAAAGUUUUGGUAAAGGAGGCAGAGGUUUGAGCUGGUUAGCUUGCUGAUUUGAAGUCUGGAGAAUUUUAGGAUCUGCCGCCUUUGGGCAAAUUUCUUCCAUCUCAGCCGCACCCAGCAUGUGGGCUUAACAAAAUAAAAGUUUCAUUUUCCCAUUGGUGAACAGCUCGCUUUCUCUGAACAGAAGACAAAGAACUUCUGUUGCCUAAAAUCAAUUUUCAGAGUGCUUCAGUUAAAAAAUAAAUAAAAAGUGAGCAAACAGAGCUCUGAUUAUCAAAACUCUGAGACCAAGGGCUCCCCUGACAGACGCGUCCCCACUCUGAGGUGGCAUGUGGUGAACCGCUCUGCGCAACAGGAGCUGCAGCCCGGCAGCUGCUUUACCUUUCACACGGAAUUCCAGCGGGAGAUCUGGAGGAAUGACUGCCGGCCGGCUUCUGUCGUUCUGCACCGGGAGAAUCCACACAAGUGAUCAGAGUGAUCCUCAAUUGCAUCAGAAAGCCAACUGAGCCAGGCACCAAGAAAAGCCAGUGAGCAGUGGUCCUCCAAGCUCUGAUUCACUUCCUGCCUUGAGUAUCUGUCCCGCCUUCUCUUGAUGAUGGACUCUUACUUGUGAAGGGGGCUAUCAGAUGCAAGCUUUUGAAAGAAAACUGGGAUCAAUGGCCCUGCUACUGAGACUCUGACAGUACUGAGGCUGAGUUCAGCGUGACUGAAAGAUUGUUGUCUAGUUCAAAGAUGUUUCAAAUGGCCGCAACUUCCAUCCUA